AAUGACAACGUGAGUUCGCACUCGUCAGCCAUAUGCAGAUGCCCUAGUUACAAUAAAUAGUAACUAGAAAAUAGUUCUAGAUAUAAUCGAUAGAUUUAAUCGAUAGGUUUAAGAUAUUCUUUUGUUUUUAUCCCUAGUCCAUGUAAAGAAAGUGCGAUGAAGGUUUUUCAGUUCAGGACGGUGUGAUAGAUUUAUCCGAAGAAUAAACUAAUAGCUAUUGUGAUCCUACCUGUAAAUACAGAAAUAACAACAGUAUAAGUAUAAUGUAUAAGUUUAUGCUGAUUCAGAUCCUUACUCUCUUAGUGUUACUAGACGAUGGAAUGAUAGGGAGCACGUUCAUAUAUUUAUAACAAGAGGACAUUACCAAAAAAAGUAGCAGUCUCCAGAUCACGGAUGUACAUAAAUAAAGAUGUAGAGUUUUUCUUGAAGCAUUUACUUCAACAAAAAUGAAUAAUCGCGUAGCCAAGGAAUAAAAUGGACAAGUUUACGUAUAAAAACAAAGUUGAUCAGUUAUAGAUAGACAUAUGGAAUGAGAAAGUAGAUCGAAGAACCAAAAAUGUAGUCAUCAUGAAACAGAUCAUCUUUCGACAAAUUUCGUCAGCGUUCCAGAGAAAAUGAUUGAACAACUAAAUUUUUCCUAACAAUUAAAAAUGUGCAAGCUUAGAAAAAAGAAAUUUAUUACGCCACAUUGUUAAGAAAUAAAUGGUACGAUACAUCUAACGAUGACAAGUUACGGAUCGUGUUCUUCCUGGUGAAUGCAAAUUUAUUCAAUGAGAAGCAGCCAACCGUGUUUAAGUGUUCGUUUUAUGCACACUGUUUGACAAUGACAAUCUAUUUUACAGCGUUCUCGUUAUCAAUACAUAAACGACACAUCUUUUCUACGAGAAAAAGCUUCCGCUUUCCUAACUGCUAUUACGAAUCAGCAUUUUUUAAUGCUUAUGAUUGAUCCUCGAUUUUUACCCAACAAUUCCUACCGGUUCUCGAGACAUUCGAUCUGAAAUAUUUUUCAAAGGUUUUGUCGGUUCUGUGGUAAUCAGAUCUGCCUGUUUCGAAAAUACUGUUUUGAGAGAAACAGUUUUCGAAAUCGUUGUACAAUCGGAAAAUUGUUCACGUGAAAGUAAAUCGAAAAUAUAUAUUUUCCCAUAUAUAUCAUCGAGAGUUAAAAUUUUUCCCACAGAGCUCCGUUCUCGAGAAAAUUAAGUUUGAAUAUUCGUCGAGUAUUUCUCUAUAUGCAUUCCACGCUCUGUUUCCUUUCUCCUACAUUCCCAAUAUUCCAUAUCCUGCAUAUAUCUUGACACAUAUAAUCCAAAUAAACACAAAAGAAUAUGGUUCUAAAUAAAGAAGAUAUAUUUAUAGCACAAAAUGCAGACGACAAAUUGGUCACAGGAAAUCGUCAUUUCGCAGGAACAAAAUUUGCUAUCUCGUAAGCUGAAAUUCGUCUUCGCCCCUAGUGUCAUUUCGUUGGCCACAUUUCAGCGAGUGACAUCGGUUAGGUAGUCGAAGCGACUGGGAAAUCAUCGCUUUGGGAAUUCUAAUUUAGCAAGCUGGAAUAAUUAUCGGACUAGUCUGUACCACUAGUGUGGAAAACUAUGUGUGGAACACGAGAUAAAGGAGAGAAGGAAACGAUAUAACGAAUGAUUUUUAAUAAACAUAUUAUUUAUUUAAUUUUUAUAUAAUAUAUAAUCAUCGAUACUUUUAGUUUGCAUUUUUAAUCCAAUCAUAUCGAUGUAACGUUACGCAGUGGAGAAGGAUGCAUUUAUAGAACGCAUUUUCAUAGAACAAAUAUCUGAAUCUAAGAUAUAUAAGGCACAAUUGUUGUAUCUUAUUAUUCUCGAAUAAAAAUAAUUGACUUAUUUCAUCGUCGCAAUUUAACACGUCUGUAUAAUUUUUCUUUUUUUUUUUUUCUUUUUUCUUUUUGUCGAAUGAAUAAUAUCUAUUGUAUAUCAUUCAAAGACGAAACGAGACUGUAUAUAAUAAGUACACGCUACAUCGUACCAACCCCCAUCUGACAAAGAAACUGUUUAAACGAUUAGAAACACUUUUUCCCUCUUUCCAUCUAAUUGAGCUAGUUUAGAAAUCGUUUGCGAGUAGAAGAUCAAGACGACGCGCAACUUCUUCCUUCGGAAGAAUUUACAAUUUUUCCUUAUAAUUAUUUGGUUCUUCGUUGCAAGUCGCGAAAUUUACAAAGAUAAUUGACGAAACCUGAUUUAUUUUACGUUGCUUGAUCGAUAUGAGAACUUGCGUUUGUAUUCUAUUCUAUCAAGAAAUUUUAUUUGUAUUUCGACCAACACGUUGUACAUUUUGACCUUUUUACACGUGAUAGAAAUUAGUUAAACGAAUACCAUAAAUAAUCACUUUAAUAUUCAUGUGGCAAAAAAUUCGUACGAUGACGAAUAAAAGAAGUUUCAUUGUCACGGUGUUUCGCACGUUUUUAAUGAAAUUUCUUCUUCAAAAUAACAGAUAUGUAUACCAAAGUUAUUUAGAAUGAAGAUGGAAACGCGUAAGGGGUUUACAUUCAAACAACGUUCUAUAUAUUAACUUCUGGCUGAACUCUGUGAAAAUACUUUCAGCCAGGGAAGACGUGUUUUUAUGUUUAAUCGUAAAUUACGCUAUUCGUUUCAAGAUUUUCACGUCGCGGGUUUCACUACGUCUACGAUACGCUUUAUUACUCUAUUCGUUUAAGUAGAUAAGGAUUUAAUCGAUAAUCAUCGAAAUUCAUCAAAUGGAACAAUCAAUGUAACAGUACAAA